GAUGAACGCUAGCGGGAGGCUUAACACAUGCAAGUCGAGGGGCAGCAUAGGGUAGCAAUACUCUGAUGGCGACCGGCAAACGGGUGAGUAACGCGUAUGCAACCUACCCUGUACAGGGGGAUAACCCGGAGAAAUUCGGACUAAUAUCCCGUAAUAAUAUCCGGAGGCAUCUUUGAAUAUUUAAAGUUCCGACGGUACGGGAUGGGCAUGCGUAACAUUAGCUGGUUGGUAAGGUAACGGCUUACCAAGGCUAUGAUGUUUAGGGGUCCUGAGAGGGUGGUCCCCCACACUGGUACUGAGACACGGACCAGACUCCUACGGGAGGCAGCAGUGAGGAAUAUUGGUCAAUGGGCGCAAGCCUGAACCAGCCAUCCCGCGUGCAGGAAGACGGCCCUAUGGGUUGUAAACUGCUUUUCCAGGGAGAGAAACUUACGCACGUGUUGCGUGACUGACGGUACCCUGGGAAUAAGCAUCGGCUAACUCCGUG
rnacentral:rRNA from 1 species